rnacentral:rRNA from 1 species
UGUUAAUUUUUAUAUACAAUACUACGGUAUUUAUAUAAUAUUAACAUAAUUCAUAUUACUUUUUAGUAUAUGAAACUUUACUUUGAGAAAAUUAGAGUGCUUAAAGCAGGCUAUUGCCUUGAAUACUCCAGCAUGGAAUAAUAUUAAGGAUUUUUAUUCUUCUUAUUGGUUCUAGAAUAAAAAUAAUGAUUAAUAGGGACAGUUGGGGGCAUUUGUAUUUAACAGUCAGAGGUGAAAUUCUUAGAUUUGUUAAAGACAAACUACUGCGAAAGCAUUUGCCAAGGAUGUUUUCAUUAAUCAAGAACGAAAGUUAGGGGAUCGAAGACGAUCAGAUACCGUCGUAGUCUUAACCAUAAACUAUGCCAACUAGAGAUUGGAGGUUGUU